AAUAUUUAAUAUAUGAGUUAUCUGUAUAGUCCUAAUGAUAUGGUUUAGGAGUUUCUACAAAAUGCCGUAAACAUUUUACUACGAUAAAGAGAGGGAUAUGU
rnacentral:ncRNA from 2 species